GGAGAAUCCAACACCAAACUCAAGGAACGCGACAGGAAAAUCACCAAACUCGCCGGGGAAGUCCGGAGACUCACGGCGCUGGUGGCCGAGCGCGACUCCGGGCUCCGGAAGCUCCGCUCAGAGCUCGGUGAGUGU